rnacentral:rRNA from 1 species
AGUGAACGCUGGCGGUAGGCCUAACACAUGCAAGUCGAACGGCAGCACAGUAAGAGCUUGCUCUUACGGGUGGCGAGUGGCGGACGGGUGAGGAAUACAUCGGAAUCUACUUUUUCGUGGGGGAUAACGUAGGGAAACUUACGCUAAUACCGCAUACGACCUACGGGUGAAAGCAGGGGAUCUUCGGACCUUGCGCGAUUGAAUGAGCCGGUGUCGGAUUAGCUAGUUGGCGGGGUAAAGGCCCACCAAGGCAACGAUCCGUAGCUGGUCUGAGAGGAUGAUCAGCCACACUGGAACUGAGACACGGUCCAGACUCCUACGGGAGGCAGCAGUAGGGAAUAUUGGACAAUGGGCGCAAGCCUGAUCCAGCAAUACCGCGUGGGUGAAGAAGGCCUUCGGGUUGUAAAGCCCUUUUGUUGGGAAAGAAAAGCAGCAGGUUAAUACCCCGCUGUUCUGACGGUACCCAAAGAAUAAGCACCGGCUAACUUCGUG